AUGAAGAGAAGAAGUUUAGUUUGGAUUAAUACUGGGUCGUCGUUUUUGUGGAUUUUGCCUUGCGUUACGGCCAUGCCUUUGAUUUGUGGAUAAGAACUGUGACUGUUUGUUUUGGUGCAGAGAGAGAGAGAGAGAGAGAGAGAGAAUGUGAAAGGAGAAGAGGAGUAAUCGAUCCUGCAUUUGUUUAAUCAAUACCUAUCACAGCUCCCAAAUUGAAAUUCCACUGAUAGUCUGAGAGAGGAAGAUUUGACUAAAAUCAAAUAGAAAAGGCUUCGUCUGUGAACAUACUUCUUUUCUUAUUUCUUUUUCUUUCUUUAGCUAUCCUUUGAUUUUAAUGAAAUUUACAGGAACUUACUGAUUCGGCGAAGCACAAGAGAACGGCUUUGAGUCUGAGUUUAUUUCUGGGUCUUUACUGACAGAGGUUGCUCUCUAGAAAAAAAUAACAAGAAAAAAAAGAACAAGGUGACAAAGUUGUAAGAAAGAAAGGAGAUGAAACAAAGAGAGAGGGAGAAGAGAACGGGGAAUAAGGAAAAGGAGGAGAAGAGAGA
rnacentral:lncRNA from 1 species